GCCGGGGUGAUGAAAUUGGUAGACAUGCUGGUCUUAGAAACCAGUGCUUAAUCGCAUAAGAGUUCGAGUCUCUUCCUCGGCACCA
rnacentral:tRNA from 1 species